UCCUGUUUCGCUGAGAGUCCGAGAUGGA
rnacentral:sRNA from 1 species